rnacentral:rRNA from 1 species
GCGCUAAUACCGCAUAAGACCACGGAGUCUCCGGACGCUGUGGGAAAGGUGGCCUCUUCUUGAAAGCUACCACCGAAGGAUGAGCCUGCGUCCCAUCAGCUAGUUGGUAAGGUAAUGGCUUACCAAGGCGAAGACGGGUAGCUGGUUUGAGAGAAUGAUCAGCCACACUGGCACUGGAACACGGGCCAGACUCCUACGGGAGGCAGCAGUGAGGAAUAUUGGGCAAUGGGCGAAAGCCUGACCCAGCCACGCCGCGUGAGUGAUGAAGGCCCUCGGGUCGUAAAGACUCUGUGGGAGAGAAGAAUAAAGACCUGUGAAGAGCAGGCCUUGACGGUAUCUCCUUAGCAAGCACCGGCUAACUCCGUG